rnacentral:rRNA from 1 species
UGCGUAGGCGGUCUUUCAAGUCAGGAGUGAAAGGCUACGGCUCAACCGUAGUAAGCUCUUGAAACUGUAAGACUUGAGUGCAGGAGAGGAGAGUGGAAUUCCUAGUGUAGCGGUGAAAUGCGUAGAUAUUAGGAGGAACACCAGUUGCGAAGGCGGCUCUCUGGACUGUAACUGACGCUGAGGCACGAAAGCGUGGGGAGCAAACAG